GGCCCCGUCGUCUAGCGGUCAGGAUCCAUGGUUUUCAUCCAUGUCACAGGAGUUCGAUUCUCCUCGGGGUCACCA
rnacentral:tRNA from 2 species